UACGUAGGGUGCAAGCGUUGUCCGGAAUUAUUGGGCGUAAAGAGCUCGUAGGCGGCUUGUCACGUCGACUGUGAAAACCCGGGGCUCAACUCCGGGCCUGCAGUCGAUACGGGCUGGCUUGAGUGCGGUAGGGGAGACUGGAAUUCCUGGUGUAGCGGUGAAAUGCGCAGAUAUCAGGAGGAACACCAAUGGCGAAGGCAGCUCGCUGGGACGGUACUGACGCUGAGGAGCGAAAGCAUGGGGAGCGAACAGG
rnacentral:rRNA from 1 species